UGCCAUGUGCCAGGCUCCAAGCACUGUACCUCAAGCAUCUCUUCUGAUCUUUACAACAUACCUCUGAGACAGAACCAGCCCCAGAACACCUGUGAAGGCGGAUGUUCCCCCCUGAGCAGGAGCUCCAGGGCUGCAGACACUGUUGAAGAUGGAGAGUGUGUCCCACGACUAGAUAGUAAAAGGUCUCGAAGUUGCUGAGGCUGAC